GUGUCAGCAGCCGCGGUAAUACGUAGGGUGCAAGCGUUGUUCGGAAUCAUUGGGCGUAAAGCGCGUGUAGGUGGUUAGGUAAGUCAGUUGUGAAAUCCCUCGGCUCAACCGAGGAAGUGCAUCUGAAACUACCUAGCUCGAGGACGGUAGAGGAAGGUGGAAUUCCUAGUGUAGAGGUGAAAUUCGUAGAUAUUAGGAGGAAUACCGGCGGCGAAGGCGGCCUUCUGGGCCGUUCCUGACACUGAGACGCGAAAGCGUGGGUAGCAAACAGGAUUAGAUACCCUGGUAGUCC
rnacentral:rRNA from 1 species